AUUGAACGCUGGCGGCAUGCUUUACACAUGCAAGUCGAACGGUAACAGGCCGCAAGGUGCUGACGAGUGGCGAACGGGUGGGUAAUACAUCGGAACGUGCCCGAUCGUGGGGGAUAACGGAGCGAAAGCUUUGCUAAUACCGCAUACGAUCUACGGAUGAAAGCAGGGGACCGCAAGGCCUUGCGCGGACGGAGCGGCCGGUGGCAGAUUAGGUAGUUGGUGGGAUAAAAGCUUACCAAGCCGACGAUCUGUAGCUGGUCUGAGAGGACGACCAGCCACACUGGGACUGAGACACGGCCCAGACUCCUACGGGAGGCAGCAGUGGGGAAUUUUGGACAAUGGGCGCAAGCCUGAUCCAGCCAUGCCGCGUGCAGGAUGAAGGCCUUCGGGUUGUAAACUGCUUUUGUACGGAACGAAAAGACUCUGGUUAAUACCUGGGGUCCAUGACGGUACCGUAAGAAUAAGCACCGGCUAACUACGUGCCAGCCGCCGCGGUAAGAC
rnacentral:rRNA from 1 species